AAAGUUUAAAGGUGCUUCUGGCACCGCUGAUGGAUGAGCCUGCGGCGCAUUAGCUAGUUGGUAGGGUAAGGCCUACCAAGGCGACGAUGCGUAGCCGACCUGAGAGGGUGAACGGCCACACUGGGACUGAGACACGGCCCAGACUCCUACGGGAGGCAGCAGUAGGGAAUCUUCGGCAAUGGGCGAAAGCCUGACCGAGCAACGCCGCGUGAAUGAUGAAGGCCUUCGGGUUGUAAAAUUCUGUUAUAAGGGAAGAACGACUUUAGUAGGAAAUGGCUAGAGUGUGACGGUACCUUAUGAGAAAGCCACGGCUAACUACGUG
rnacentral:rRNA from 1 species